rnacentral:rRNA from 1 species
UACGUAGGUGGCAAGCGUUGUCCGGAAUUACUGGGCGUAAAGGGCGUGUAGGCGGCCUUUUAAGUCAGACGUGAAAUCUCCAGGCUUAACCUGGAAACUGCGUUUGAAACUGGAGGGCUUGAGGAUCGGAGAGGGCAGUGGAAUUCCCAGUGUAGCGGUGAAAUGCGUAGAGAUCCGGAGGAACACCAAAGGCGAAGGCAGUGUCCUGGGGAGUACCUGACGCUCAGGUGCGAAAGCCAGGGGAGCGAACGGG